CCAGAUUUAUUAGAGCUUUCCUUCUAAGGAGCAGCUUCUUUUUGUUUUUUGACUGUAGUCACUUCAGGCAGUGAUCUUUGAGUCCAAGUAUAUAAAAUAUGACACUGUUCCUAUUUUUUCUCCUAUUUGCCAGGAAUUGUUGAAACCAGUUGCCAUGAUCUUAGUUUUUUUUUUUUUCUUUACAUUAAGCUUCAAACCAGUUGUUUUACCCUCAUCAAUAGGCUUCUUAAUUCCUUCUUAAGUCAUGACAAAUCAUUCUAUCCACCCAAAUAGGCAUUCUAGUGAUGAUAUGAGGAGGGGUAACCACUGUUAUGCUAGAUGGUCAGAGGAUGAUUGUUGGUAUCCUAGUGUCAACUCAACUUGAACAAGGUGAAAAUACUAUGCUUCAAUCUACAUUUAGUCUCCAUAGUUCUCUCUCUGGAUGCAGAUGGCAUUUUCUGUCCCAAGUUAAGUACUUCAUCUUUAAUUCAGUUUUAUUUUAUUUUCAGUCUUGAAUUCUCUAUAUCUCCCCCUUUCUUUUGAUUUAAAGAUCUGUCCCAUCUUAGCUGAAAUUCCACUUUAACUCUUUUAACAAAAUUUCUUUGUUGUACUGUUGUCAACUGAUGAUAAUCCUAUUUGCCAUAAGAAGUUUUAUAUAUGACAUUUAAAACAUAAUUUGGGUUUUCAAUCACCAGAGGAAAUGCAGGGAGCAAGAUCAUUUGUAGGAUAGUAUGGCUAGGGACCCUAUCCAUGGCUUGAUAAUGGAGAAGCCCAAAGUUUAGUCCUGGGACAGACCUCAGAAAACAACAAAUAUAACAAAAAAAAAAUAAUAAUUAGAAAAAUAACAACAUAAGGCUUGGGGCAUCUUUCCCCAUACCUUGGGAAUAGAACUUAAUCACAUCAAUUGCUGCUUAAAAACAAAAUCAAAAUGAGUAAGCAAAGAAGAAAGAGCCCAACCAUAGACGGUUACUUUGGAGAUAAGAAAAUCUGGAUUCAUAGUCAGAGGAAGACGAUGGCCCCAGAAAAGUCACUCCUUUUUCAAUGAAAAACAUCAAAUGGUCCCAAGCACAAAAAGAGUUUUUGGAAGAACUUAAAAAAGACUCGAAAUCAACAAGAAAGCCCAAGGAAAAAAGUUGAAAAAAAAAAUAAGAACAUUCCAAGAAAAUAAAGAAAAUUGUAAAGAGAAAGUCAACCAACUUGAAAUAGCAAAUCAAAAAUUUAAGGAAGAUUUUUUCCAUUUUUCCUUUUACAUUGUCUCCCCUAAGUCCCAAGAAACCCUUGAUGAAGUGUUUGUCUUUGAUUUAAAAGAGAUGGCCAAAUGACCAUUCUUCUUCUUCUUCUUUUUUUUAAAUUAAUAGCCUUUUAUUUACAGGUUAUAUGCAUGGGUAACUUUACAGCAUUAACAAUUGCCAAACCUCUUGUUCCAAUUUUUCACCUCUUACCCCCCCACCCCCUCCCCCAGAUGGCAGGAUGACCAGUAGAUGUUAAAUACAUUAAAAUAUAAAUUAGAUACACAAUAACUAUACAUGACCAAAAUGUUAUUUUGCUGUACAAAAAGAAUCAGACUUUGAAAUAUUGUACAAUUAGCUUGUGAAGGAAAUCAAAAAUGCAGGUGGGCAUAGAUAUAGGGAUUGGGAAUUCAAUGUAAUGGUUUUUAGUCAUCUCCCAGAGUUCUUUCUCUGGGCGUAGCUGAUGACCAUUCUUCUUAAUAACCUUUUGGCUAUAUUAACAAAAUGAUCAAAUUGUCCCCCCCCCAAAAUUCUCUUCCCUUAUGUCUUGUAUGGAUCAAGGUUCUGGGCAGGAAUAAACUUGUAUUCACUCCUUUUGUGCCUUUUAAAUGAGAAUUCUGAACUUAGAUUAACCAUACAUAAGUAUAAUUAAACCAAUAAACAAAAUAAUGAUUGAGAGAAUUGUUUCUUCAUGUACAUAUGAACAUCAAGGUGAAAACACACAUUUUAAAAAGAUAUAAUGGAAGAAAUACACUAAUCUUAUCUUCCAGAAAAAUCUAGGUUUUUUUGUGGAACUAAAUUAUAGAAUGUGAGGAGGCAUACACAGGAAGAAAAGAAAGUCAUGGAGAGAAAAUAUGUGAGGUACCUUAAUCAAGUCAAAGGCUAACAAGGAAAGAAAAUGCAAUCUUGUAGACUUCUGGAAUAAGAGAACUUAUAGGCAAAUGGAUAAAAAGAAAAUGGGAAAGAUAGAAAAUAGGAGAAAGAAAAGUGGGAGCUCUUGUUACAGUGUUUGGAAGAAGUACCACUGAUUAAUUCAACUCUUGAAUGAGGAAUAUAUUGUGUCUUUCUUUUAAAUAGUAUUUCAUUUUUCCAAAUAGUAACUGGGGAAUCAUGAAAGGCCUCUUUCUAGAAGAUACAUCUAAGCAGAGCAUAGAAGAGAAUUAGUGAUACUGAGAGACAUAAAGAUUUACUGUUACUAAAAGGGAAGAAUAAGUAGGAGGAUAGAGUGGUUGGGGCAGAAGUCUAGAAACAAAAACUGAUGAAGGCUGCUGGGAUCCAACAGGGAGAUUAUGAUUUUUUUCUCAUGGCUUCCAGGAGCUGAGGCACAAGGGGAUGGGUUGGGUCUAGAAGGAGAAAAGACAGACAGAACCAAUGGUCAUGAUAGAGAUUGAAGAAGCAUCAAGAAUGAGGAAUUCAACCAGUCUUUGGGACAAUUCUCCCCAAAUGGCAUUAGGCUCUUUUUUGAGCAAAAUCUUCACAUGACUAGAUCUUUGGAGGAAAAUUCUGGUGCUGCUGAAGAAGGAAACUGGGAGAACAAGGAUCAGAAAAUAGAAUUUCUUCCAUGAUGAUACUACUGGCCAGCCCCACCUCCUUCCCUUUGGGAUCUUUCUUACUUCACACAUUUCUUUGACUUCAGUUACUUUUUUCUCCCAGAGGCAAUUGGAGUUAAGUGACUUGCCUAGGGUCACACAGCCAGGAAGCAUUAAGUGUCUGAGAUCAUAUUUGAACUCAGGUCCUCCUGGUGCUCUAUCCACUGCUCCAUCUAGCUGCUCCAGACCUCCAUUACUUUUGACUUCUUGUUUCUCUGGUCCUAUUUGGCUUCCCGUCUCUCUGGUUCUAUUUGGCUGGAUCAUCAACAAUCUCCAGUUUCCUGAUUAGAUCCCCAAAUCUUUUGGAGGACUUCCGUUCUUCUCCUUCUACAUGUUCUCAAUUAUCUCAUCUGAUUUUAUGGAUUCAAUAAUGCCUUUGAUGUAGAUGACUUCCAAGCUAAAUGGAAAGCUCCUGAUUCCUUCCUAAGUUUCAGCUCCAUAUCACCAACUGUCCACUGGAAAGCAUGAAGUGGAUGACCCUUAAGGAGCACAGAGGCAACAUAUACAAAAUAGAAUGCAAUAUCUUAUUUCACAGGUCUGCUCCCUUGUCUAAUCUUCCUUUUUCUAUUAAGAUCACCUUCUAGUUACUUAGCUACCUAUCUUUUGAAAGAUCAUUCAAUUAUAGAGCAAUCAUUUUUUUUUGCACAUUACAAUGGUUUUGUCUAGUUCUAUUUUCUAUUUCAUUUAUUCCUAUUUUUAACUUAAUUUUAAAUAUUUUUUUAAAAAAAUCAUCUAUUUUUAAUAAUACUCUUUAACUAUAUAUGUGUGUGGAUAUAGAGACAGAGACAGGAAGAGAGAGACACAGAGAGACAGACAGACAAAGAGAGAUAGAGAGAGAAAGACACAGAGAGACAGAGAGAGAAAAACAAGUUUAGUUGUUUAGUUCUUAUAAAUCCUGUUAGGUGAAGAAGUUUGUAUGAGAUUCUGUGCAGGCUAACAGGAAGUUGGCUCCAGGCAAUCUGGCCCGUAGUUGACUUCAUUUUGUACACAGUUCCACUGAAGUCUAGCUAACAGGCUAAGUUCCUCAUUUCUUUUCUUUCCUUUUUUUUUUUAAUUCAAUAGUAUUUUAUUUUUCCUACUACAUGCAAAGAUAGCUUUCAACAUUUAUCCCUGUAAGAUUUUUGAAUUCCAAAUUCUUUUCUCUCCCUCCAUUACCUCCUUCCCCAAAACAACAAGCAAUCCAUCAGUCUAUACAAUAAUUUUAAGCAUUUUUUUUGACAUUAGUCAAGUUGUGAAAGAAAAAAUCAGAACAAAAAGGAAAAAUCAUAAGAAAAAGCAAACAAAAAAGGUGAAAUGAUAUACUUCUGAACAUUUAGUCUCCAUAUUUCUCUCUCUGAAUGCAGAUGGCAUUUUAUAUACCAAAUCUAUUGGAAUUGUCUUGAAUCAACAUAUAGUUGAGAAGAACUAAGUCUAUCAUAACGGAUUAUCAUAUAAUCUCACUGUUACUAUGCACAAUGUUAUUUAUAUCCACACUGUGGACAUUUAUGUGGAUCAAGAAACCAAUAGAUGAUGCUGAAAAGACAUGAAAUUUCCUGAAGUCCUGACAACAAUACCUCACAUCUGAAAAAUGUUACCAAAUCCUGAUAAUAAAAGAAAAUCAUGAAAAUAAUUUUGUCAUUUCUUGUCAUGCUUUCAGGAUUGCUGAAAAUGGCAAACAGGAGUCUUAUGAAAUUCCUCCUAUGCCACAGAUAUGGUGGUAAAACCUUAAACUAAGAAGGUCCAAAACAGGGAAAGAAAAUGACCAAUUUCCCUAAUGAAUUCUGAUGCAAAAAUCUUAAAUAAAAAUAUUAGCAAGAAGAUUACAGCAACUAAUUACUAGGCCAAUACACUAUGGCCAAUCAGGAUUUAUGCCAGCAAAGAAGGGCUUGUUCAAUAUCAGGAAAAUGAUUAGUAUAAGCCAUCAUAUCAAUUACCAAACUAACAAAUCAUAUGCUUAUAUCAAUAAAUGCAAAAAUAGCAUUAACAAAAUACAAGGCCCAUUGCUUAUAAAAACACAAGAUCAUAGAAAUAAAUGGGGUUUUCCUUAGAUAAGUAGCAUCUAUCUAAAAUCAUCAGCAAGUAUUAUAUGUAACAGGGAUAAGUUAGAAGCAUUUCCAAUAAGAUCAAGAGUGAAACAAGGUUGCCCAUUAUCACAACUAUUAUUUGACAUUGUACUAGAAAUGUUAGCUUUAGCAAUAAGAAAAGAAAAAGAAAUUAAAGGAAUUAUAGUAGGUAAUGAGAAAGCAAAUAAUAUAUGGUAUAUUUAGAGAAUCCUAAACAAUGAAUUAAAAAUUCUUAGAAACAAUUAACAACUUUAGCAGAGCUGCAGGAUAUAAAAAUAAACUCACAUAAAUCAGAACUUCUAUAUGUUACCAACAAAGCUCAGCAGCAAGAGAUAGAAAGAAAAAUUCCAUUUAAAAUAACUGUAGACAAUAUAAAAUAUUUGGAAAUCUAUCUGCCAAGAGAAAGCCAGGAAAUAUAUGAACAUAAUUACAAAACACUUUUUGCACAGAGUUACAUCUAAACAAUUGGGAAACUAUCAAUUGCUCAUGGGUAAAUUGAGCUAAUAUAAUAAAAAUGACAAAUUUUCCUAAACUAAUCUACUUAUUCAGUACCAUACCAAUGAAGUUGCCAAAAAAUUAAUUAAUAGAAAAAAUAAUAACAAAAUUAAUCUGGAAAAACAAAGAGUCAAAGAAUAUCAAGAGAAUUAAUGAAAAAAAUUCAAAAGCAGAGGUCAACAAAACCAUUUUGGUACUAGAGUAAUUGAGCAGUGGAAUAGGUCAGGUAUACAAGAAACAACAGUCAAAAACUAUAGUAAUCUAGUAUUUGAUAAACACUAAGACUCCAGCUUCUGGGAUAAGAACUGAGUAUUUUGACAAAAAUUGCUGGGAAAAUUGCAAAAUAGUAUGGCAGAAACUAAGCAUUGACCCAUAUGUAACACCCUAUGCCAAUAUAAGGUCUAAAUGGGUUAGUGAUUUAGACAUAAAAGGUGAUAAUAUGAGCAAGUUAGAGUACUAGGGAUAGUCAAACUCUAGUGGAGAAGGGAGGAAUUUAUGGCCAAAGAAUUAGAGAACAUUAUGAAAUGCAAAUUGGAUAAUUUUGAUUGCAUUAAAUUAAAAAGAGUUUGCACAAACAAGUUAAUGCAGCCAAGAUUAGGAGGGAAUCAGAAAGGUGGGGAAAAUUUUUUACAGCCAGUUCCUGAUAAAGGACAAGCUAUUUCUCAAUUGAUGAAUGGUGAAAAGAUAUGAAGAGACAAUUCUGAAAUGAAGAAAUUAAAGCCAUUUCUGAUCAUAUGAAAAAAUGCUUUAGAUGACUAUUGACUAAAGAAAUGCAAAUUAAAGCAAUCCUGAGGUACCACCUCAUACCUAUCAUAUUGACUAAGAUGACAGGAAAAGAGAAUGAUAAAUGUGGAAGGGGAUGUGGGAAAACUGGGACACUAAUGCAUUGUUGGUUGAGUUGUGAACUGAUCUAGUUGUUCUGGAGAAUAAUUUUGAACCAUACCUAAAUGGCUACAAAACUGGGCAUACCCUUUGAUCCAGAAGUCUUACUACUGGGUCUGUAUACCAAAGAGAUCAUACAAAAGGACCUACGAGUACAAAAAUGUUUGUAGCAGCACUUUUUAAAUUGGCAAAGAAUUGGAACUUGAAUGUAUGCUCAUCAUUUGGAGAAUGGAUUAAAAAACUAUGCUAUAUGAAGGUAAUGGAAUGUUGUUGUUCUACAAAAUUGAUGACCAGGCUGAUUUCAGAAAAGCCUGGAAAGAUGUACAUGAAUUUAUGAUGAGAGAAGUGAGCAGAGCCAAGAGAACAUUGUACACAGUAACAACAAGAUGAUGUGGUGAUCAAUUGUAAUGGUGUAGGCUCUUCUCAAGACUGCAAUGAUUCAAGGCCAUUUUAAUAGAUUUGGGAUGGAAAAUGUCAGUCAUAUCCAGAGAGAGAAAAAUGAAGAUUGAAUGUAAAUCAAAGCAUAGAGUUUUCACCUUUUUGUUUGUUUGUUUCUCAUGUUUUUUUCCCCUUUUGGUAUGAUUUUCCUUGUGCAACAUGAC
ensembl:lncRNA